rnacentral:rRNA from 1 species
AUUGAACGCUGGCGGCAUGCCUUACACAUGCAAGUCGAACGGCAGCAUGUUCUAGCUUGCUAGAUUGAUGGCGAGUGGAGAACGGGUGAGUAAUACAUCGGAACGGGCCCUGUAGAGGGGGCUAAGUAGUAGAAAGAUUAGCUAAUACCACAUACGACCUGCGGGUGAAAGUGGGGGACAGCAUGGCCUCAUGCUAUAGGAGAGGCAGAUGUCUGAUAAGCCAGUUGGUGGGGUAACGGCUGACCAAGGCGACGAUCAGUAGCUGGUCUGAGAGGACGAUCAGCCACACUGGGACUGAGAGACGGCCCAAACUCCUACGGGAGGCAGCAGUAGGGAAUUUUGGACAAUGGGGGCAACCCUGAUCCAGAAAUGCCGCGUGUGUGAAGAAGGCCUUCGGGUUGUAAAGCACUUUUGUCCGGAAAGAAAUCGCACUUACUAAUAUUAGGUGUGGAUGACGGUACCGGAAGAAUAAGGACCGGCUAACUACGUGCCAGCAGCCGCCGUAACAC